CAUGGUUAAGUGGGAAACGAUGUGGGAAGGCCCAGACAGCCAGGAUGUUGGCUUAGAAGCAGCCAUCAUUUAAAGAAAGCGUAAUAGCUCACUGGUCGAGUCGGCCUGCGCGGAAGAUGUAACGGGGCUAAACCAUGCACCGAAGCUGCGGCAGCGACGCUUAUGCGUUGUUGGGUAGGGGAGCGUUCUGUAAGCCUGUGAAGGUGUGCUGUGAGGUAUGCUGGAGGUAUCAGAAGUGCGAAUGCUGACAUAAGUAACGAUAAAGCGGGUGAAAAGCCCGCUCGCCGGAAGACCAAGGGUUCCUGUCCAACGUUAAUCGGGGCAGGGUGAGUCGACCCCUAAGGCGAGGCCGAAAGGCGUAGUCGAUGGGAAACAGGUUAAUAUUCCUGUACUUGGUGUUACUGCGAAGGGGGGACGGAGAAGGCUAUGUUGGCCGGGCGACGGUUGUCCCGGUUUAAGCGUGUAGGCUGGUUUUCCAGGCAAAUCCGGAAAAUCAAGGCCGAGGCGUGAUGACGAGGCACUACGGUGCUGAAGCAACAAAUGCCCUGCUUCCAGGAAAAGCCUCUAAGCAUCAGGUAACAUCAAAUCGUACCCCAAACCGACACAGGUGGUCAGGUAGAGAAUACCAAGGCGCUUGAGAGAACUCGGGUGAAGGAACUAGGCAAAAUGGUGCCGUAACUUCGGGAGAAGGCACGCUGAUACGUAGGUGAAGCGACUUGCUCGUGGAGCUGAAAUCAGUCGAAGAUACCAGCUGGCUGCAACUGUUUAUUAAAAACACAGCACUGUGCAAACACGAAAGUGGACGUAUACGGUGUGACGCCUGCCCGGUGCCGGAAGGUUAAUUGAUGGGGUUAGCGCAAGCGAAGCUCUUGAUCGAAGCCCCGGUAAACGGCGGCCGUAACUAUAACGGUCCUAAGGUAGCGAAAUUCCUUGUCGGGUAAGUUCCGACCUGCACGAAUGGCGUAAUGAUGGCCAGGCUGUCUCCACCCGAGACUCAGUGAAAUUGAACUCGCUGUGAAGAUGCAGUGUACCCGCGGCAAGACGGAAAGACCCCGUGAACCUUUACUAUAGCUUGACACUGAACAUUGAGCCUUGAUGUGUAGGAUAGGUGGGAGGCUUUGAAGUGUGGACGCCAGUCUGCAUGGAGCCGACCUUGAAAUACCACCCUUUAAUGUUUGAUGUUCUAACGUGGACCCGUGAUCCGGGUUGCGGACAGUGUCUGGUGGGUAGUUUGACUGGGGCGGUCUCCUCCUAAAGAGUAACGGAGGAGCACGAAGGUUGGCUAAUCCUGGUCGGACAUCAGGAGGUUAGUGCAAUGGCAUAAGCCAGCUUGACUGCGAGCGUGACGGCGCGAGCAGGUGCGAAAGCAGGUCAUAGUGAUCCGGUGGUUCUGAAUGGAAGGGCCAUCGCUCAACGGAUAAAAGGUACUCCGGGGAUAACAGGCUGAUACCGCCCAAGAGUUCAUAUCGACGGCGGUGUUUGGCACCUCGAUGUCGGCUCAUCACAUCCUGGGGCUGAAGUAGGUCCCAAGGGUAUGGCUGUUCGCCAUUUAAAGUGGUACGCGAGCUGGGUUUAGAACGUCGUGAGACAGUUCGGUCCCUAUCUGCCGUGGGCGCUGGAGAACUGAGGGGGGCUGCUCCUAGUACGAGAGGACCGGAGUGGACGCAUCACUGGUGUUCGGGUUGUCAUGCCAAUGGCACUGCCCGGUAGCUAAAUGCGGAAGAGAUAAGUGCUGAAAGCAUCUAAGCACGAAACUUGCCCCGAGAUGAGUUCUCCCUGACCCUUUAAGGGUCCUGAAGGAACGUUGAAGACGACGACGUUGAUAGGCCGGGUGUGUAAGCGCAGCGAUGCGUUGAGCUAACCGGUACUAAUGAACCGUGAGGCUUAACCUU
rnacentral:rRNA from 4 species